rnacentral:rRNA from 1 species
AAGCUGCGGAGGGACGCAGGAAGGUAGUCCGGCACCGUAUUGGUUUGCGGUGUUAAGCCUGUAGGACGCAAUUCCAGGUAAAUCCGGUUUUGCAUGUGUCUGAGAGGUGAUGAGUGGUGCCACAUUUUGUGGUACGUAUCUGGGUGAUCCUAUGCUGCCUAGAAAAUCUUCGUGAGCGAGUUCUCGAGCUGCCCGUACCCCAAACCGACACUGGUGGACAGGUAGAGAAUACCAAGGCGAUCGAGAUAAUCAUGGUGAAGGAACUCGGCAAAAUCCUCCCGUAACUUCGGAAUAAGGGAGACUGGAGACGUGUAGAAAUUUUACUUUCGUAGCGUCGAGAGUCGCAGAGAAUUGGCCCAAGCGACUGCUUACUAAAAGCACAGGUCCGUGCUAAGUCGAAAGACGAUGUAUACGGACUGACUCCUGCCCGGUGCUGGAAGGUUAAGGGGACGUGUUAGCACUUGUGCGAAGCACUGAACUUAAGCCCCAGUAAACGGCGGUGGUAACUAUAACCAUCCUAAGGUAGCGAAAUUCCUUGUCGGGUAAGUUCCGACCUGCACGAAUGGAGUAACGACUUGGGCGCUGUCUCCACCAUGAACUCGGCGAAAUUGCAUUACGAGUAAAGAUGCUCGUUACGCGCAGCAGGACGGAAAGACCCCGGGACCUUUACUAUAGUUUGGUAUUGGUGUUCGGUACGACUUGUGUAGGAUAGGUGGGAGACUGUGAAGCGGUCACGCUAGUGAUUGUGGAGUCAUUGUUGAAAUACCACUCUGGUCGUCCUGGAUAUCUAACCUAGGUCCGUGAUCCGGAUCAGGGACAGUGCCUAAUGGGUAGUUUGACUGGGGCGGUCGCCUCCCAAAAGGUAACGGAGGCGCCCAAAGGUUCCCUCAGCCUGGUUGGUAAUCAGGUGUUGAGUGUAAGUGCACAAGGGAGCUUGACUGUGAGACAGACAUGUCGAGCAGGGACGAAAGUCGGGACUAGUGAUCUUCUGGUGGCUUGUGGAAGCGCCAGAACUCAACGGAUAAAAGGUACCCCGGGGAUAACAGGCUGAUCUUUCCCGAGCGCUCACAGCGACGGAAUGGUUUGGCACCUCGAUGUCGGCUCGUCGCAUCCUGGGGCUGGAGUCGGUCCCAAGGGUUGGGCUGUUCGCCCAUUAAAGCGGCACGCGAGCUGGGUUAAGAACGUCGUGAGACAGUUCGGUCCCUAUCCGCUGCGCGCGUAGGAAUCUUGAGAAGGGCUGUCCUUAGUACGCAAGGACCGGGACGGACCAACCUCUGGUGUGCCAGUUGUUCCACCAGGAGCAUGGCUGGUUGGCUACGUUGGGAAGUGAUAACCGCUGAAAGCAUCUAAGUGGGAAGCACGCUUCAAGAUGAGGGUUCCCGCACAGUUAAUGUGGUAAGGCCCCCGGUAGACCACCGGGUGAUAGGUCGGAUGUGGAAGCAUGGUGACAUGUGGAGCUGACCGGUACUAAGAGGCCGAGGGCUUGCCAA